rfam:Schistosoma rodhaini strain Burundi genome assembly, scaffold: SROB_scaffold0001644
GCACUGCUGAGGAGUCCCAUAAUAGGACGAAACGGCAGUCCAGUGC